rnacentral:rRNA from 1 species
GUCUACAGCCAUGCCACCCUGAACACACCCGAUCUCGUCUGAGAACUUGGAAGCUAAGCAGGGUUGGUCCUGGUUAGUACUUGCAUGGGAGACCACCUAGGAAUACCAGGUGUUAUAGAAG